UAAUCUAUCUGGACAGAUCCUCAUCUAGUUGUGACAGACUCACACUUGGCUACCCAAAAUCACCCGUUAUCGCAAGCCUAGCUACAUCAGAUACUAUGGAAGAUUAUCUUGGCAUUCCAUUGCAUAUAAU
rfam:Populus trichocarpa isolate Nisqually-1 chromosome 2, whole genome shotgun sequence.